rnacentral:rRNA from 1 species
UAGGGAAUCUUCCGCAAUGGGCGAAAGCCUGACGGAGCAAUGCCGCGUGAGUGAAGAAGGCCUUCGGGUCGUAAAACUCUGUUAUAAGAGAAGAACAAAUUGUAGAGUAACUGCUACAGUCUUGACGGUAUCUUAUCAGAAAGCCACGGCUAACUACGUGCCAGCAGCCGCGGUAAUACGUAGGUGGCAAGCGUUGUCCGGAUUUAUUGGGCGUAAAGGGAGCGCAGGUGGUUUCUUAAGUCUGAUGUGAAAGCCCACGGCUUAACCGUGGAGGGUCAUUGGAAACUGGGAAACUUGAGUACAGAAGAUGAAUGUGGAACUCCAUGUGUAGCGGUGGAAUGCGUAGAUAUAUGGAAGAACACCAGUGGCGAAGGCGACAUUCUGGUCUGUUACUGACACUGAGGCUCGAAAGCGUGGGGAGCAAACAGG